AUCCCUUUGUAGUUCAUAAGUGUGAUGAGUGGUUUUCACGCUCAUGUGUGAGAUGUUCCUCCCUCAAACCUAUGAUGACAUUGUCACAUUACCAGUCUGAUG
rnacentral:snoRNA from 2 species